rnacentral:rRNA from 1 species
GACGAACGCUGGCGGCGUGCUUAACACAUGCAAGUCGAACGGAAAGGCCCUGCUUUUGUGGGGUGCUCGAGUGGCGAACGGGUGAGUAACACGUGAGUAACCUGCCCUUGACUUUGGGAUAACUUCAGGAAACUGGGGCUAAUACCGGAUAGGAGCUCCUGCUGCAUGGUGGGGGUUGGAAAGUUUCGGCGGUUGGGGAUGGACUCGCGGCUUAUCAGCUUGUUGGUGGGGUAGUGGCUUACCAAGGCUUUGACGGGUAGCCGGCCUGAGAGGGUGACCGGCCACAUUGGGACUGAGAUACGGCCCAGACUCCUACGGGAGGCAGCAGUGGGGAAUAUUGCACAAUGGGCGGAAGCCUGAUGCAGCAACGCCGCGUGCGGGAUGACGGCCUUCGGGUUGUAAACCGCUUUCGCCUGUGACGAAGCGUGAGUGACGGUAAUGGGGAAAGAAGCACCGGCUAACUACGUA